AUCAUUAACGAAGCUAGCGCUCGCGCGCAACGCU
rnacentral:rRNA from 2 species